AGGGCGUAUGGGGAAUGCCUAGGCUCUUGGAGGCGAAGAAAGACGUGGUAAGCUGCGAAAAGCUCCGGGGAUUUGCAAACAAGAUUUGAUCCGGAGAUUUCUGAAUGGGACAACCCGUCAGGUAGAAGGCCUGACACAUCGUAAGAUGGGCCAACCCUCUGAACUGAAACAUCUUAGUAGGAGGAGGAAAAGAAAGAAACAUCGAUUUCCUGAGUAGCGGCGAGCGAAAGGGAAAAAGCCUAAACCGGUAUUGUUACGGCAAUGCCGGGGUUGUAGGACUGCAAUAUUCAAGUAACAAUGAACUGGAACGAUCUGGAAAGUUCGUCCAUAGAGGGUGAAAGGCCCGUACAGGUAAGUUCGUUAUGCGAUAGCAGUAUCCUGAGUAGGGCGGGACACGAGGAAUCCUGUCUGAAUCUGCCGGGACCACCCGGUAAGGCUAAAUACUCCCAAGAGACCGAUAGUGAACCAGUACCGUGAGGGAAAGGUGAAAAGAACCCCGAACAGGGGAGUGAAAUAGAACCUGAAACCAUACGCUUACAACCGGUCGGAGCAGUUUCGUGCUGUGACGGCGUGCCUAUUGAAUAAUGAGCCUACGAGUUACUAAUCACUGGCGAGGUUAAGUGCACGGAUGCACGGAGCCGAAGCGAAAGCGAGUCUGAACAGGGCGGCUAGUCAGUGGUUGUAGACGCGAAACCUUGCGAUCUACCCUUGAGCAGGUUGAAGGUUGGGUAAAACCAACUGGAGGACCGAACGAAUAAGCGUUGAAAAGCUUCUCGAUGACUUGAGGGUAGGGGUGAAAGGCUAAUCAAGCUGGGAAAUAGCUCGUACUCCCCGAAAUGCCUUUAGGGGCAGCGUUGUAAUUAAGAGUCUACUGGAGGUAGAGCUACUGAUUGGAUGCGGGGGCUUCACCGCCUACCAAAUCCUGACAAACUCCGAAUGCCAGUAGUAUGAUUUACAGCAGUGAGCGACCGGGUGCUAAUGUCCGGUUACGAGAGUGGAACAACACAGACCAGCAACUAAGGUCCCGAAGAGUAUACUAAGUUGAUCUAACGAUGUUUUGCUGCAGAGACAGCUAGGAUGUUAGCUUGGAAGCAGCUAUUCAUUCAAAGAGUGCGUAACAGCUCACUAGUCGAGCGGCAAAGCGUGGAUAAUAAACGGGCAUCAAGUAUACCACCGAAGUUCUGGGCACGAGAGUGCGGUAGGGGAGCAUUCCAUUGACGUCGAAGCCAUUCCGCGAGGAUAGGUGGAGUUUAUGGAAAAGCAAAUGUAGGCAUGAGUAACGAUAAUGCGGGAGAGUAACCCGCACACCGCAAGACCAAGGUUUCCUGAUCAACGCUAAUCGGAUCAGGGUUAGUCGGGUCCUAAGGGUAAGCCGAACGGUGAUCUCGAUGGACAAUCGGUUAAUAUUCCGAUACUAACAUAUACCUCGAUGGAGAGACGAAGGAACGUAAGUGACGCCGCCUGACGGAAUAGGUGGUUAAAGGGCGUAGGUAUAGGGACAGAUUAAGAGUUAGUCCUUGCUGAAAUCCGACAGUACGGAGCGGCUACGGCCAAUCUGAUAGUUCACCCAAGUCGACUUCCGAGAAAAUCUUCUAAGUUAUAGUAUAUGUUACCCGUACCGUAAACCGACACAGGUGGUCGAGGAGAGUAUCCUAAGGUGCUCGAGUGAAUCACGGUUAAGGAACUAGGCAAAUUAACCCCGUAACUUCGGGAAAAGGGGUCCCUACGCGAGUAGGGCGCAGCGAAGAGGUCCAGGCGACUGUUUAUCAAAAACACAGGGCUCUGCAAAUUCGAAAGAAGACGUAUAGGGCCUGACACCUGCCCGGUGCUGGAAGGUUAAGAGGGGAUGUCAUCGCAAGAGAAGCAUUGAAUCGAAGCCCCAGUAAACGGCGGCCGUAACUAUAACGGUCCUAAGGUAGCGAAAUUCCUUGUCGGGUAAGUUCCGACCUGCACGAAUGGUGUAACGAUCUGGACACUGUCUCAACCGUGAGCUCGGUGAAAUUGUAGUCCCGGUGAUGAUGCCGGGUACCCGCAACGGGACGAAAAGACCCCGUGAACCUUUACUAUAGCUUAACGCUGAAUUUGGGUACACAAUGUGUAGGAUAGGCCGGAGACAUUGAACGGGCUCGGCAAAGCGCUUCAUCGGGAUGGUAUCACCGACGGAGUCCUUGGCGAACUGCGGCAUAUUGGCGACCAUGUCGGUGUUGACAACGCCCGGAGCGACCGCGUUGACACGCACGCCCUUGUUGGCGAAGGAAUAAGCGACGGACUUGGUCAUGGCGAUCAGGGCAGCCUUGCUGGCGGGGUACGGCAGGCCGGUCGGGCAGCCAUAGACACCGGCGACGGAAGCGGUAUUGACGAUGCAGCCCUUGGUCUUGACCAGGUGCGGGAUCGCGUACUUCAUCAUGGUGUAGGGGCCCUUCAUGUUCAGGUUGCAGACGGCAUCCCACUCGGACUGCUUGAGCUUGGUCAGCCAGGUGCUGUUGUCGGUGCCGGCGUUGUUGACGAGCACGUCCAGACGGCCCCACUUGGCAAUGAUCUCUUUGUACAGUUCCUGAACGGCCUUGUAGUCGCACAGGUCGAUGGCCUUGGUCAUGACUUCGUAGUCGGGGUUGAUCUCCUUGAGCGCUGCUAGAGCCUUGGCACCGGUCUCUUCAUAGUGGCUGAGGAAGUACACUUUGGCACCCGCAGCGAGAAAGCCCUUGACUGCCGCGAAGCCGAUGCCGCGACUACCACCGGUAACAAGAACGACCUUACCUU
rnacentral:rRNA from 1 species